rnacentral:rRNA from 4 species
GGUUAAGCGACUAAGCGUACACGGUGGAUGCCCUGGCAGUCAGAGGCGAUGAAGGACGUGCUAAUCUGCGAUAAGCGUCGGUAAGGUGAUAUGAACCGUUAUAACCGGCGAUUUCCGAAUGGGGAAACCCAGUGUGAUUCGUCACACUAUCGUUAACUGAAUACAUAGGUUAACGA